AAGUCGUAACAAGGUUUCCGUAGGUGAACCUGCGGAAGGAUCAUUAUUGAAUUCUUCGGGGAGGGGCUGCUGCUGGCCUUCUGGCAUGUGCGCGCCCUGACCCAAAACCCACAUACACUUGUGCACUCUCGCAGGGGGUAGGCUGCCGUCAGGUGGCUGAGCCCUGUCUUUUUACACACGCCCUAAAAUUAUGAACGUCUUUUAUGUCCGCCCUAAGAAGCAGACUUAAAUAAAAUACAACUUUCAACAACGGAUCUCUUGGCUCUC
rnacentral:misc_RNA from 1 species